rnacentral:rRNA from 1 species
UACGUAGGAUGCAAGCGUUGUUCGGAAUUACUGGGCGUAAAGGGCGCGUAGGCGGCUGAUCAAGUCAGGUGUGAAAGCCCACGGCUUAACCGUGUGAAGUGCAUCUGAAACUGGUCGGCUUGAGUAUCGGAGAGGAAAGUGGAAUUCCCGGUGUAGAGGUGAAAUCCGUAGAUAUCGGGAGGAAUACCGGUGGCGAAGGCGACUUUCUGGACGAAUACUGACGCUGAGGCGCGAAAGCGUGGGGAGCAAACAGGAUUAGAAACCCCAGUAGU